rnacentral:rRNA from 2 species
AAAGCAACUGCGAUUGCCCUAGUAACGGCGAGUGAAGCGGCAGCAGCCCAGAUUUGGAAUCUGGCCCCCUUGCGGGGCCCGAGUUGUAAUCUGCAGAGGAAGCGUCUGGCGCGGCGCCGGCCUAGUUCCCUGGAACGGGACGCCGUAGAGGGUGACAGCCCCGUACGGUCGGCCGCCAAGCCUGUGUGUCGCUCCUUCGAAGAGUCGCGUAGUUUGGGAAUGCUGCGCAAAGUGGGAGGUAUGCUCCUCCUAAGGCUAAAUACCGGCCAGAGACCGAUAGCGCACAAGUAGAGUGAUCGAAAGAUGAAAAGUACCUUGAAAAUGGGGUUAAACAGUACGUGAAAUUGCCAAAGGGGAAGCGCUCGUGGCCAGACUCGCGCCCGGCGGAUCAUCCGGCUCUCCCGCCGGUGCACUCUGCCGGGCUCGGGCCAGCGUCGGUCGGCGCCGGUACUAAAAGGCGGUGCGAACGUGGCUCCCUUCGGGGAGUGUUAUAGCGCGCCGCGUAAUGUGCUGGUGCCGUCCGAGGACCGCGCUUUAUGCAAGGACGCUGGCGUAAUGGCCACUAGCGGC